AGCGAACGCUGGCGGCAGGCCUAACACAUGCAAGUCGAACGAAGUCUUCGGACUUAGUGUCGGACGGGUGAGUAACACGUGGGAACGUGCCCUUUGGUUCGGAACAACUCAGGGAAACUUGAGCUAAUACCGGAUUUGCCCUUCGGGGGAAAGGUUCAUCGCCAUUGGAGCGCCCCGCGUCUGUUUAGCUAGUUGGUGAGGUAAAGGCUCACCAAGGCGACGAUCAGUAGCUGGUCUGAGAGGCUGAUCAGCCAUAUUGGGACUGAGACACGGGCCAAACUCGUACAGGAGGCAGCAGUGGGGAAGCGUGCGCAAUGGGCGAAAGCCUGACGCAGCCAUGCCGCGUGAAUUAUGAAGGUCUUAGGAUUGUAAAAUUCUUUCACCGGGUACGAUAAUGACGGUACGCGGAGAAGAAGCCCCGGCUAACUUCGUGCCAGCCGCCGCCGUAAAAC
rnacentral:rRNA from 1 species